UUGAACGCUGGCGGCAUGCCUUGCACAUGCAAGUCGAACGGUAGAGUAGCAAUACUCGAGAGUGGCGAACGGGUGAGUAAUAUAUCGGAACGUGCCCAGUCGUGGGGGAUAACGUAGAGAAAUUUACGCUAAUACCGCAUACGAUCUAAGGAUGAAAGCGGGGGACUCGCAAGGGCCUCGCGCGAUUGGAGCGGCUGAUAUCAGAUUAGGUUGUUGGUGAGGUAAAGGCUCACCAAGGCGACGAUCCGUAGCUGGUCUGAGAGGACGACCAGCCACACUGGAACUGAGACACGGUCCAGACUCCUACGGGAGGCAGCAGUGGGGAAUUUUGGACAAUGGGGGCAACCCUGAUCCAGCCAUUCCGCGUGAGUGAAGAAGGCCUUCGGGUUGUAAAGCUCUUUCGGCAGGAACGAAACGGUGCGGGCCAAUACCCCGCAUCAAUGACGGUACCUGAAGAAGAAGCACCGGCUAACUACGU
rnacentral:rRNA from 1 species